rnacentral:rRNA from 1 species
CGCAAUGGGUGAAAGCCUGACGGAGCAAUGCCGCGUGGAGGAAGAAGGCCUUAGGGUUGUAAUCUCCUUUUCUCAUUGAAGAAUUUAUGACGGUAUUUGAGGAAUAAGCAUCGGCUAAUUUCGUGCCAGCAGCCGCGGUAAUACGGGAGAUGCAAGCGUUAUCCGGAAUUAUUGGGCGUAAAGAGUUUGUAGGUGGUUAAAUGUGUUUGGUGUUAAAUAUUGAAGCUUAACUUUGAAACGGCACCAAAAACUAUUUGACUUGAGUAUGAUAGAGGUAGAGGGAAUUCCCAGUGUAGCGGUGAAAUGCGUAGAUAUUGGGAAGAACAUCGGUGGCGAAAGCGUGCUACUGGGCUGUAUCUGACACUCAGGGACGAAAGCUA